GCGGCGUUGGUCCAGUGGCCUACGACUCGACCUUGCCAUGGUCGGAACCUGGGUUCAAAUCCCAGACGCCGCA
rnacentral:tRNA from 1 species